rnacentral:lncRNA from 1 species
AUGUCACUGGUGUCUCAGUGGGAUUCGGCUUAUCUUCUGCUUGUGACACCCUCAUCUCCCAGCCUUCGGCACCUAAUUCCUGAAUGUAAGAUGGAACAGACACCUGAAAGUCUUCCUCAGAAUAACAAUCCAGAUUCUGACAGAACAUCAGAAGUAUAUCUACAUGAGGAAUUACAGCAAGACAUACAAAAGUUUAAGAAUGAGGUCAACACGUUAGAAGAAGAGUUCCUGGCUUUGAAGAAAGAAACUGUUCAACUUCAGAAAGAGGUUGAAGAAGAAAUGGAGAAGCACAGAAGUAAUAGAACAGAAUUAACAGGAACCCUAACUGAUGGUGCUACUGUUGGCAGUGAUGAUGAUGGACUAAAUCAGCAGAUUCCUAGGAAGGAGAAUGGAGAGCAUGACAGGUAAGUCUACAGCAACAUUUAACAGGAGACAAUUGGCCAGGCACAGUGGCUCAAGCCUGUAAUCCAGCACUUUGGGAGGCCAAGGCAGGUGAAUCACCUGAGGUCGGGAGUUCAAGACCAGCCUGACCAACAUGGAGAAACCCUGUGUCUACUAAAACUGCAGAAUUAGCCAGGUGUAGUGGUGCGUUCCUGUAAUCCCAGUUACUCAGGAGGCCGAGGCAAGAGAAUCGCUUGAACCCGGGAGGCAGAAGCUGUGGGAGGCAGAGUUUGCGGUGAACCGUGGUCAUACCAUUGCACUCCAGCCUGGGCAACAAGAGUGAAACUCCAUCUCAAAAAAAAAAAAAAAAAAAAAAAAAAAAACAGAAACAAAAACAAAAAACAGGAGACAAUUAUGUGCUAUGAAAUGAAUUCUAAUUUGGGCUAAUAUUCAUGAUGAACAAAUUUUAUACUUUUACUAGGAUAUUCAGCCUUCCUUGGUUCUCAGAAAAAUGCAAACAAUGAGAUACCAUGUUUUCCAAUCAUAUUGAUAUUUUAUUUAAUAAAUAGGAAGUAUUGGCAAAUGUGAGAAAAGACAUUUUAUACACUGCUGUUAAAUGAAAUUGAUGAAUCCUUUUUGCAGGGUAAUUUAGUAGCAUGUAUCAAAAUUUCAAAUACGUCACUUCUUUAACCUAACUUCACUUUUGGGAUGUGAUCCUACAGGAAAAUAUGACUUGUGUAAACACAUACACAUAUGUGUUAAAGACAUUACAUGUAGUAUAUAACAUACAAUAGGCUAAUCGGUUAAAUAUAUAUAAUAAGUAUAUAUGAUAUAUUUAUGUUAAGGAUAUUUAUAUAUGUUUCAUAUAUACUUAUGUAUAAGGAUAUUUAUUAUAGCAUUGUAAUAUCAAAAAGUUGGAGAUCGUCAAAAUCCUUAGCAAUAAGGAAAUAGUACAAUUGUCAUACCCAGAAAAUAAUGUAGUAUGCAAUCAUUUUAAUAAAAUAAGUUGUUAGACCUGGAGUGUGCUUAUUAUUUCACAAUUAAAGUCUGUUUAAAGGCUUUGGUUUAAUGA